GACGAACGCUGGCGGCGUGCUUAACACAUGCAAGUCGAACGGAAAGGCCCUGCUUUUGUGGGGUGCUCGAGUGGCGAACGGGUGAGUAACACGUGAGUAACCUGCCCUUGACUUUGGGAUAACUUCAGGAAACUGGGGCUAAUACCGGAUAGGAGCUCCUGCUGCAUGGUGUGGGUUGGAUAGUUUCGGCGGUUGGGGAUGGACUCGCGGCUUAUCAGCUUGUUGGUGGGGUAGUGGCUUACCAAGGCUUUGACGGGUAGCCGGCCUGAGAGGGUGACCGGCAAAAUUGGGACUGAGAUACGGACCAGACUCCAACGGGAGGCAGCAGUGGGGAAUAUUGCACAAUGGGCGGAAGCAUGAUGCAGCAACGCCGCGUGCGGGAUGACGGCCUUCGGGUUGUAAACCGCUUUCGCCUGUGACGAAGCGUGAGUGACGGUAAUGGGUAAAGAAGCACCGGCUAACUACGUG
rnacentral:rRNA from 1 species